rnacentral:rRNA from 1 species
AUGUGUUUUUGUCACCAUGAUGAGACAAUAAAACAUUUAUUCUUCCAAUGCAAAUUGGCUCAUUCUAUAUGGUCAGUCAUCCAGAUAGCUUCUGGCUUGUAUCCUCCUUGUAGUGUUGCUAAUGUAUUUGGCAACUGGUUACAUGGGGUAGAUCACAGGUUCAGAACUCUUCUUAGGGUGGGAGCGUUUGCCGUUAUUUGGUCGCUUUGGCUAUGUAGAAAUGAUAAGGUUUUUAACAAUAGAAGUACUUUUAUCAUGCAGGUUAUCUACAGAUGUACCGGGACUCUUCGUUUAUGGUCCUCUCUACAACGCGUGAGAAUCAAGAACUGUUUACAGAGGUGUGUACACGGUUGA